AACAAACAAGAAACGAAGCUCAAAUCUAAUGUCCCCUGAAGGCAAUGAGUCAGGCAGAGAGAGUUGCUCACACGGUUAUUUAUCCACUAUGGGGCAUUUUGAGGCUCCACCUACUUCUACGAGUAGACGCACAAGCAGCAUUAUGCUGCCCAUUUAACAACUGACUGCUAUGGACCUUCACACAUUCUUCUUUUGAUCUUUAAAGUUACUUUAAGGUUUUGGAGUUUGCAAAAGAGAACAAAGACGCUGAAAGACAGCUUUCGUGGAGCUACUUCAUGGAGCAAAAUGAAAAACAAACUUGUCCAUAACUGAUGUGAUUGAUUGAGAUCGAACAGAAAAUAGAGGGGCUGUCAGCCAGUCAGCCUCUCAUUUCAUCAAGAGCUUUAUGAGGAA